GAAUGAGAUGAUCUUGGUUUAUGAUUACAUGGCUAAUGGAACUCUUCGUGAUCACUUGUACAAAACUGAUAAUGCUCCACUUCCAUGGAAGAAACGCCUCGAGAUUUGCAUUGGCGCAGCAAAAGGAUUGCAUUAUCUCCAUACAGGUAAAAAGGAUAUCAUCAUUCAUCGAGAUGUGAAGUCAACCAACAUUUUAUUGGAUGAUAAAUGGGUUGCUAAGGUUUCAGAUUUUGGGUUAUCCAAAAUCGGUCCACUUAGUGGAUCAGGAAAAACUCAUGUUAGCACUGUUGUGAAAGGAAGCUUUGGAUAUCUAGAUCCUGAAUACUAUAAGCGACAACAGUUGACAGAAAAAUCUGAUGUG
rnacentral:misc_RNA from 1 species